rnacentral:rRNA from 1 species
CAGCAGCCGCGGUAAUACGGAGGGUGCAAGCGUUAUCCGGAUUUAUUGGGUUUAAAGGGUCCGUAGGCGGACUUAUAAGUCAGUGGUGAAAGCCUGUCGCUUAACGAUAGAACUGCCAUUGAUACUGUAAGUCUUGAGUAUAUUUGAGGUAGCUGGAAUAAGUAGUGUAGCGGUGAAAUGCAUAGAUAUUACUUAGAACACCAAUUGCGAAGGCAGGUUACCAAGAUAUAACUGACGCUGAGGGACGAAAGCGUGGGUAGCGAACAGGAUUAGAUACCCCGGUAGUCCCUGUCUCUUAUAA